GACUUCAGGAUAUGGUCCAAAGGAGGAAGAAAUACCUCAAAUACUUGCGCAGAACGGACUGGGACUCGUACUGUCUUGUUCUGUCAAAGCUUGGGCUUCGCGAUGUGCCGGAGUACAAAGCACCUGAUUACAAGAAGACACAGCCAACCAAGGCCCAGUCUAAGAAGAGCAAGAGCAAGCGAAAGAGGAAGAUGAAGGCGUAGAAAGCCCUGAAACAAAGAGAAUUUACCACUUUUGAACUUUGGCCUUGAAUUGCAAGGCCAUAAAACCUGUCAGAUAGACGUCCAGGCUCGAGAUGUCUCAAUCCAGUCUUGCAGUGUUGUACUAUCUCUUUUUGUAAUAACAAGUUCUUU
rnacentral:lncRNA from 1 species